rnacentral:tRNA from 2 species
AGUAGAGUCAGCUAAAUAAGCUUUCGGGCCCAUACCCCGGACAUGUUGGUUAAAAUCCCUCCUCUACUA